rnacentral:rRNA from 1 species
AACGAACGCUGGCGGCAGGCUUAACACAUGCAAGUCGAACGGUCUCUUCGGAGGCAGUGGCAGACGGGUGAGUAACGCGUGGGAACAUACCUUUCGGUACGGAACAACAGUUGGAAACGACUGCUAAUACCGUAUACGCCCUGAGGGGGAAAGAUUUAUCGCCGAGAGAUUGGCCCGCGUUGGAUUAGCUAGUUGGUGGGGUAAUGGCCUACCAAGGCGACGAUCCAUAGCUGGUCUGAGAGGAUGAUCAGCCACACUGGGACUGAGACACGGCCCAGACUCCUACGGGAGGCAGCAGUGGGGAAUAUUGGACAAUGGGCGCAAGCCUGAUCCAGCAAUGCCGCGUGAGUGAUGAAGGCCUUAGGGUUGUAAAGCUCUUUCGCACGCGACGAUGAUGACGGUAGCGUGAGAAGAAGCCCCGGCUAACUUCGUGCCAGCAGCCGCGGUAAGUACUGACUCA